rnacentral:rRNA from 1 species
UACAGAGGUCUCAAGCGUUGUUCGGAUUCAUUGGGCGUAAAGGGUGCGUAGGUGGCGCUGUAAGUCGGGUGUGAAAUUUCGGAGCUUAACUCCGAAACUGCAUUCGAUACUGCGGUGCUUGAGGACUGGAGAGGAGACUGGAAUUCAUGGUGUAGCAGUGAAAUGCGUAGAGAUCAUGAGGAAGACCAGUGGCGAAGGCGGGUCUCUGGGCCGUAACUGACGCUGGAGGAGCGAAAGCAUGGGGAGCGAACAGGA